AUUGAACGCUGGCGGCAGGCCUAACACAUGCAAGUCGAGCGGAGCGGCGGACGGGUGAGUAAUGCCUAGGAAUCUGCCUGGUAGUGGGGGAUAACGUCCGGAAACGGGCGCUAAUACCGCAUACUAUCAGAUGAGCCUAGGUCGGAUUAGCUAGUUGGUGGGGUAAAGGCCUACCAAGGCGACGAUCCGUAACUGGUCUGAGAGGAUGAUCAGUCACACUGGAACUGAGACACGGUCCAGACUCCUACGGGAGGCAGCAGUGGGGAAUAUUGGACAAUGGGCGAAAGCCUGAUCCAGCCAUGCCGCGUGUGUGAAGAAGGUCUUCGGAUUGUAAAGCACUUUAAGUUGGGAGGCGUUACCCGCAGAAGAAGCACCGGCUAACUCCGUGCCAGCAGCCGCGGUAAUAC
rnacentral:rRNA from 1 species